rnacentral:rRNA from 1 species
UACGUAGGCAGCGAGCGUUGUUCGGAGUUACUGGGCGUAAAGGGUGUGUAGGCGGUUGUUUAAGUUUGGUGUGAAAUCCCCCGGCUUAACUGGGAGGGUGCGCCGAAUACUGAAUGACUUCGAGUGCGGGAGAGGAGAGUGGAAUUCCUGGUGUAGCGGUGAAAUGCGUAGAUAUCAGGAGGAACACCGGUGGUGUAGACGGCUCUCUGGACCGUAACUGACGCUGAGACACGAAAGCGUGGGUAGCAAACAGG